GUCACUGUAGUCCGUGUCCGCACCGUGGGGGAGCUCUGUGGCUUGGGCAUCCCGCAGUACAGUUUCUUGGUGGGGCCAAGAAACCAAACACUGGCGUAAGCGAGAAAACAACGGUCCCAGAACGAAAAACUUGGUGUAAGACUGGUGCACCGAUCUCCAUCUGUCGCCUGGAAGGGACCGUUCUUAACAGCCGGAGAGUAAGCGCCGGUGGAGGAAAGGUUUCCUCCCGGCCUUCCGCUAAUCUAACAUCGUCCUGCUAAACACCUAGGAGGCGGCCGCAUGCGCAAGACCGAGACGUCCUGCUUGUAAACUGUUGUAACAUGAGGUCCAGGAGGGCAAGGAGAUAACAGCACCUGGUAAACUAAUGAAGAGUACAAUAACCAACUGCACCGAAGACGGAAAUCGCGGUUUCUUCUGAUGCUCAACAUCAGUGUGGAGUGCACACACACCAUACUCCAGCGAUCUUAGAUGCCAGGCAUGAAAGAUACAUUCUUCAAGAAGUCCAGCUAACUGCAAGUGUGAGGUGCAUCUGGGUGAAACAGCUAACAUGGCGACCACCUUCGACUGUUCACAAGCGGUUAGAUUCAGUCUGCAUUGAUCUAGUCUGCAACUCCACGCCUCCUUCCAUCCUCAACCACCCUCACCCCGCCGCUUAUGGCGGGAAAAGUUGCGCCAGACGCGCGCUUCUGCGGCUGCAGCCUGACUCGUUCUCUCAAGCUGCUAAGGGCAGUGAAACAGAUUCAGGCUAAAGUGGACUUGAUGAGACAGCCUGAAGAAUUCAAAACAGUUGAAGAAGAUAAAAGGACACUCCAAGAGUGGUCAGUUUUGAUGUACAGACACCACAGAGUGAUUGUGACCUGAGAUCAUGUGGUGGCAAGUGACUUCCUGGGAAAAAAGCUCCCAGUUCAUGCAUCAAGGUUUUCCAUUGGUUAAUCUUCUGGCUGAUCCUGACAUGGUCAAAUUUUCAAUUCCUGGCCUCCAAAAUGUAGACUACAGGAAACAAAAAUGUAUUUGAGGACUUCAUUGUUGAAGUUGCAGUUCUUAAGAUCUGCAUGUGGAUCCUUGCACAACAGGUUUAAAGUAAAACCACCAAGAGCAGGCCUCCAAAAGUGACAGAUAGUGGUCCAAUGAGAACAAGUAAAACCAGAAUUGGAAAAAAAAGACAGUAAGUCAAAUCAAAGUGUUGUGUUGGGAUUUUAAGAAAUCCCUUUAUUUCCAAGCAUUCUCUCCUACAGGAUUUGGUGACCUACUGUUGACAUGUUGAACAUUAUAUUUUGAGCAGUUUAAAGCACUGUUUUUUUUUUUUUUUUUAAAUAUAAAGCAGUGAUGUAUGUGUCAUGUACAGACCACUACAAUUUGUGAGCUUUUGAUGCUUUUAUGAUGAGAUCAGAUGAAAGUACAUGAAGUUGUACAGUGUAAAUCAGGAUUAAUAACUAACCUCAAAUGUAUGUUCCAAAAUGAAGGGAAUUUUUUUUUUUUAAAUAGCUAUUGUGAUUUUACUGUAGGAACAUAUUUUAGGGCCUCAGAAACUAAGAGCAAAGUCCUGUUACAUCUUAAAAAUGAUAAAAUAGAAGGUAGCCAAUAUUUUGCACUUGAUUUUUUUUUUUUUUCUCCACGUAUUCUUGAUAUCGAUAGCCCUAAAGUUUAACAAUUCCCUAUUUUGUGGAAUUGACACAUUACUAGAAACACCUGUAUCUUUCAAGCUACAAUAGAUACAACCACAAAGUUUAGCAAGAUUGUUCAGGGUUAUGUCAUUACUUGCAUUGCUAUAGGUUUUAAAUCUAUCAUUAAACAUUACAAAAAAUUGAUUGGAAGAGAUAGAUUUUUUAAAUAUAGCAAAACAACAUCUAUACAUACAUUCGCUCAUUUGCUGCAAGUGUGAAUUAAAAAUCGCAUAACUGAAAUAUGAAAUUUUGGGUCACAAAUUUACAUGUCGUUUAGUUUAGUAGGCCCUUCAACCACAAGUGUGCGCCCUCAAAAUGAACUUGGGAAAAGAUGACUUCUGGCUAAAACAACUGCAGAUGAAAUAAUGAAAUAAAUCUGGUCGAGUGGGCCAUUUAAAUACAUCAGCAUGAUGUGCAUUCUCCAUAAAGUUCACCUCUUCCUCUGUUAAUCACAGCUACAACUUCCCCAUAAUCUUCUACAUAGUAAACAACUGUGAUUUCUCUGGUGGUUAUGAAAUUUAAAUCUGCCUCAAACUCUUAUUUUUCUUCAUGUGGUUUCAUCUUUAUCUGAAUCUUCAAAGUAAUGUGGAUCAUUGCAUAGGCACUUUUGAUGUUGGUGGUCCCUUAGAAGUGGUAGGUGAUCAAGUGCCUCUGUAUCAAACAUCUGCUGUAGUCUUUUCACCAGCAGCAGAAAAGGCCCAGUUACCUGCAGCAGAGGCAAUUUUUUUUCUGUAUGACUAAUUUUUUUAGUUCUGCAUCCAUCGAUGGGUGCUUUCAGACUGAAUGGUAGUAUAUGUCCGUAGAGCGCAACAAUGUCUGCUAUAUUGCUGCAAGGGCCAUAUGGGUUGAAUGCAUGCAUAAUUUUUAUCACUUUUCUUCUUCUCUUCAUCUUGUUUGUUCUAUUGGUGUUGUAGUUAAACUUCUUUUUGCUUUCUAAUGAUCUUGUUUUCCAUUAUCAGAUACUGUUCUCGGCAAGUCAGUGACAAGUGAAUAUAUUUUUUUAAAUCUGUGUGGAUCUUACACUAGCGCAACAAUGCUUAAUUUGAAAAUACUGCAGUUAUGUUGAUUGUAAUUGAACUCUUUAAGAUCAACAUAUCACUUAUCAUUGAUAUACUACUAUUCAAAUUUUAAUGGCUGGUGAGUGUCGCGUACCAUUCGAACCGCAGCUGAGCGCAGACCACACAAGAACGACAAAGACAAAAUUCACGUUAAAAAAAAAAAUUAAACUACGUAAAAUAAUGCAAGAGAAACCUCUUAUACAUCUCUAACACUUACAUUAAAAAAAUAGAUUAGAAUGAACAAAUGAAAAAAUAAAUACAAUAAAACAGUUGCCCUGUGCACAGGCGAAACAAAGUAAUCAUAAAGAAUACACACCACCCGCACGUACUGCGGGGUAGCAGGUCAAGUGUCCACUGGGCGGCAGCCCGCCCUCUGGCCCGCGUGCUGCCCCAGCGCUAACCCUUACCCCCCUCUUCCUCUCCUCCAGCUGGCCCCCGCUCCCUCCUCUCGUCCAGCCGUGCGUACCGCAAAUGCGCGGGCGCCUAUGACGGGCGGGCCGUACCGGAGCGAAACUUGAGUGAGCGCCCGUGGUCGCACGCAUACCUCCUCUAGAGGUAGUACGCCACUGGCGCAAAGAUGGCCGCUAUGGUUGUAGAGUUUAGGCGUGUCAAUGAUAUUCACGGUGGAUCUUCUAAUAAAUAAGUAUUUUGCAAUAGAUAGAUAUAUACGACGACAAAGAAGUGUAUUAAAAUUCAUCGUCACGUCUUUCUAGAGAUGUAGAUUAAUUUGCCUUCGAUCUUGAAACUACGAAUCUGGACCACAACAGAAAGUCUACUUGUCGUUUGUUGUUACGUGAUAUGCUUGACUACCGCAUUGUUCUUUCUUUUUAAUUCUCAUGGACUUUUUCCUCUUUAGUUGCCAAAUGAAUGCUACUAGAAGUAUAUUGUUUGGCGCUGCAAUAGAUUGCUUCUAUUAAUUCGUCGUCGUUGUCAAAUAUGUCCCUGUUCUCUAUUUCGCUGUCAGCUGCCAAUUUAACAGGCGCCCAUGGUGGGCGAAGGGUAUCACAGGCUCUCACAGGCGUGAGUGAGCGCCCGCGUUACGGUACGCAGGGCAGGUACGAGGUAUGGGUAGGCCGCUGGUCACGUGUCCACGCGCGGAUGUGGGAUGCAGGGUAGACGGUUUACACAAUGGUGGACAGUAGAAAAUGACGAAAAGGCGACAGGAAUGUGUAAAGACGAUUAAAAAGAACAUACAGUUCGGCAGCUGAAUGCAAGCAGCAUUAUCCUCUCAGACUCAGUCAGGUCACUUGGAUCAGUCCUUACAGCAUGAUAGAAAUUCUCCUUUACCUUCAGUCAUCUGCGAAGUAUUUACCACAAUUCAAAACGUCUUCGAGCAGAAGAGAAAAGCAGGUGACACUUUAGACGAAAGUUUGGAGGGCAGAAACUUUAGACGAACGGGUUGACGAUGCUGUUUACGUUUAGGAACAGAAGAGCGGUUAUACACAAGUUCAUUCUCCAUCUCGCCAUCUCCAGACGAUAUUCCCAAUCACCAUCACUAAUAAGGUUUCUAGUCUGUUCUCAUGACCUGAACACUAGCUGGAAUUUCACUCCCGAAGACAGAGGUCGGGCAGACGACACUUCUUUUCUAAUAUUCACUCGAGACGUUACUUUUUAGCAUCAAGAAUCUUCACCUGCACUGCUUUUUUCCCCAAAAAACAUAAACAAGAAACCAGUUUUGCGUUGCAUGACGUCAGAUCGGGACGCUGGAGCCAGCUGUGAGAGUUGAGUGCCAUGUGAGGACCACUGCUCCCGUCUGUCCCAAGGGACAUUGCUGCAGGAAAGUCAAAGGUGCUACCUCUACAUAGACACCCCAGACACUCUGUGGCGUAUACGGUGGUUAUUAAUUAUAGUAAUUAUAGUCGGAUGGACGGAAAGGGCAACAAUUGCCAAUAACCUGGUGUUGGAUAUACAAAGUUCAAAAGCUCAGCAUGAAGUGGUUCAGUGUUAUAUUUCGGUCUUUACUCCGUCAUGCGGUGAUGUCAUCAGUGACGACAAUGUACAAUGACGUAGAAACGCAGCAGACUGAGUACUGAAGCACAACAAAAAUAAAUGUUGAUAAAGUAUAAGAAGACCACAUAGCCACAACUACUGUCUGUAGGCACCACACUCGGAGAAAAUUCACUCGCAGAUCAGUAUAUCACAGAGAUUCACAUAGACCCAUACGAUCUGUCUGAAGCAGAACGAUGACAAACAAUCCACUGAACGAAGGGGAAGAUUAACUGUAAAGAACGGUCGCCACUGAUCAUCUCCCACACAACAGAACCAAAACCGAGGUCACUAGAAUGGAAGAGCAUCAUAUCCAAACUGCCGCAGCUAGGCACGCGUCAAAUUAAAGUUGACAGCGAAGCCUAGGGAAGCAGCAAUAACCCAUCAGGCAAGACCGAAGACAAAGUAAGUUCCACCCAUCCGCCAUCUUCCUACGUCGCUCUUUUCUCUUUUUCUGUGAGAAGUGUAGUGACAGGUAAUUGUAAGUACCGAUAUUUUAAUU